GACGAACGCUGGCGGCGUGCUUAACACAUGCAAGUCGAACGGUGACGAGGAGCUUGCUCCUCUGAUCAGUGGCGAACGGGUGAGUAACACGUGAGCAACCUGCCCCAGACUCUGGGAUAACAGUUGGAAACAGCUGCUAAUACCGGAUACGAGACGGAGAGGCAUCUCUACCGUCUGGAAAGUUUUUCGGUCUGGGAUGGACUCGCGGCCUAUCAGCUAGUUGGUGAGGUAAUGGCUCACCAAGGCGACGACGGGUAGCCGGCCUGAGAGGGCGACCGGCCACACUGGGACUGAGACACGGCCCAGACUCCUACGGGAGGCAGCAGUGGGGAAUAUUGCACAAUGGGCGAAAGCCUGAUGCAGCGACGCCGCGUGAGGGAUGACGGCCUCGG
rnacentral:rRNA from 1 species